CUACAGGCUUAACACAUGCAAGUCGAGGGGCAUCAGGAAGAAAGCUUGCUUUCUUUGCUGGCGACCGGCGCACGGGUGAGUAACACGUAUCCAACCUGCCCUUUACUCGGGGAUAGCCUUUCGAAAGAAAGAUUAAUACCCGAUAGCAUAAUGAUUCCGCAUGGUUUCAUUAUUAAAGGAUUCCGGUAAAGGAUGGGGAUGCGUUCCAUUAGGUUGUUGGUGAGGUAACGGCCCACCAAGCCUUCGAUGGAUAGGGGUUCUGAGAGGAAGGUCCCCCACAUUGGAACUGAGACACGGUCCAAACUCCUACGGGAGGCAGCAGUGAGGAAUAUUGGUCAAUGGGCGCUAGCCUGAACCAGCCAAGUAGCGUGAAGGAUGAAGGCUCUAUGGGUCGUAAACUUCUUUUAUAUAAGAAUAAAGUGCAGUAUGUAUACUGUUUUGUAUGUAUUAUAUGAAUAAGGAUCGGCUAACUCCGUGCCAGCAGCCGCGGUAAUACGGAGGAUCCGAGCGUUAUCCGGAUUUAUUGGGCUUAAAGGGAGCGUAGGUGGACUGGUAAGUCAGUUGUGAAAGUUUGCGGCUCAACCGUAAAAUUGCAGUUGACACUGUCAGUCUUGAGUACAGUAGAGGUGGGCGGAAUUCGUGGUGUAGCGGUGAAAUGCUUAGAUAUCACGAAGAACUCCGAUUGCGAAGGCAGCUCACUGGACUGCAACUGACACUGAUGCUCGAAAGUGUGGGUAUCAAACAGGAUUAGAUACCCUGGUAGUCCACACAGUAAACGAUGAAUACUCGCUGUUUGCGAUAUACAGUAAGCGGCCAAGCGAAAGCAUUAAGUAUUCCACCUGGGGAGUACGCCGGCAACGGUGAAACUCAAAGGAAUUGACGGGGGCCCGCACAAGCGGAGGAACAUGUGGUUUAAUUCGAUGAUACGCGAGGAACCUUACCCGGGCUUAAAUUGCAGUGGAAUGAUGUGGAAACAUGUCAGUGAGCAAUCACCGCUGUGAAGGUGCUGCAUGGUUGUCGUCAGCUCGUGCCGUGAGGUGUCGGCUUAAGUGCCAUAACGAGCGCAACCCUUAUCUUUAGUUACUAACAGGUUAUGCUGAGGACUCUGGAGAGACUGCCGUCGUAAGAUGUGAGGAAGGUGGGGAUGACGUCAAAUCAGCACGGCCCUUACGUCCGGGGCUACACACGUGUUACAAUGGGGGGUACAGAAGGCAGCUAGCGGGUGACCGUAUGCUAAUCCCAAAAGCCUCUCUCAGUUCGGAUCGAAGUCUGCAACCCGACUUCGUGAAGCUGGAUUCGCUAGUAAUCGCGCAUCAGCCACGGCGCGGUGAAUACGUUCCCGGGCCUUGUACACACCGCCCGUCAAGCCAUGGGAGCCGGGGGUACCUGAAGUACGUAACCGCAAGGAUCGUCCUAGGGUAAAACUGGUGACUGGGGCUAAGUC
rnacentral:rRNA from 1 species